rnacentral:rRNA from 1 species
UACAGAGGUCUCAAGCGUUGUUCGGAUUCAUUGGGCGUAAAGGGUGCGUAGGCGGCGCGGUAAGUCGGGUGUGAAAUCUUGGAGCUUAACUCCGAAACUGCAUUCGAUACUGCCGUGCUUGAGGACUGGAGAGGAGACUGGAAUUUACGGUGUAGCGGUGAAAUGCGUAGAGAUCGGGAGGAACACCAGUGGCGAAGGCGGCUACCUGGACCAGCACUGACACUGAGGCACGAAAGCGUGGGGAGCAAACAGG